rnacentral:tRNA from 1 species
UAGUGUAGUGGUUAGCACAUCUGCUUUACACGCAGAAGGUCCUGGGUUCAUGCCCAG